rnacentral:rRNA from 1 species
AAGAAAGGUUGACUAUAGCAAGGAGGUCACACCUGUUCCCAUGCCGAACACAGAAGUUAAGCUCCUUAGCGUCGAUGGUAGUCGAACUUACGUUCCGCUAGAGUAGAACGUUGCCAGGCAAG